rnacentral:rRNA from 1 species
UACGGAGGGGGCUAGCGUUGUUCGGAAUUACUGGGCGUAAAGGGCGCGUAGGCGGCCUUCUAAGUCGAACGUGAAAUCCCCGGGCUCAACCCGGGAACUGCGUCCGAUACUGGAAGGCUUGAAUCCGGGAGAGGGAUGUGGAAUUCCAGGUGUAGCGGUGAAAUGCGUAGAUAUCUGGAGGAACACCGGUGGCGAAGGCGACAUCCUGGACCGGUAUUGACGCUGAGGCGCGAAAGCCAGGGGAGCCAAAGCGGG